ACCCUGUUGCUUCGGCGGGCCCGCCGUCAGGCCGCCGGGGGGCAUCUGCCCCCGGGCCCGCGCCCGCCGAAGACCCCCUUGAACACUGUCUGAAGGUUGCAGUCUGAGUUGAUUAUUAAAUCAAAUUAAAACUUUCAACAACGGAUCUCUUGGUUCCGGCAUCGAUGAAGAACGCAGCGAAAUGCGAUAAAUAAUGUGAAUUGCAGAAUUCAGUGAAUCAUCGAGUCUUUGAACGCACAUUGCGCCCCCUGGUAUUCCGGGGGGCAUGCCUGUCCGAGCGUCAUUGCUGCCCUCAAGCCCGGCUUGUGUGUUGGGUCGUCGUCCCCCCGGGGACGGGCCCGAAAGGCAGCGGCGGCACCGCGUCUGGUCCUCGAGCGUAUGGGGCUUUGUCACCCGCUCUGGAGGCCGGUCCGGCGCCUGCCGACCAACCUAUUUUUCUAUCCAGGUUGACCUCGGAUCAGGUAGGGAUACCCGCUGAACUUAAGCAUAUC
rnacentral:rRNA from 1 species